rnacentral:rRNA from 1 species
CCCUUAGAUGUCCUGGGCCGCACGCGCGCUACAAUGACUUAUUCAGAAAGUUUACCUGGUUCGGAAGAAUUCAGGGUAAUCUUUGUAAUACAAGUCGUGUUAGGGAUCGAUCUUUGCAAUUAUAGAUCUUGAACGAGGAAUGCCUAGUAAGCGCAGUUCAUCAGGCUGUGCUGAUUACGUCCCUGCCCUUUGUACACACCGCCCGUCGCUCCUACCGAUUUCGAGUGGUCCGGUGAACCAUCUGGAUUGGACCGCAAGAUUCGAGAAGUUUAGUAAACCUUAUCACUUAGAGGAAGGAGAAGUCGUAACA